rnacentral:lncRNA from 1 species
GUUUGGUUCAAUCGUAUACUCAUAUGCUCAUAGUGUUGAAUUAAAGCGUGCUAUGAAUUAUGCUAUGUCAAUAAUCUUGGUUUGAUUAUGUAUUCAUAUGUUUUGAUAUGAAUUGAUGCAUAUAUGAUAGAAUCAUAGAUUUAAUUGAUAUGUAGUUGAAUUUUAUCUGUUCAUUUUAGAAUGUGCAUGAGACCGAAAAAGCCUUCAUAAAAAUUAUAUUAA